CGUCCUUGUGUGACGCACACGACAGCACAACGUCCAAGCCAUGGGUGUGCACUCGGCAAUCUGCUCUCUCGCAGCAGUCAAGGAAAUGCUUCGAAAUCGUUCUUGUGGAGGAAAAUAUGGCUGGCGUUCACGCUGUGAUGCUGCUGAUUGGAUUGUUGGUGACCACUUGUGAGAAGAGCUUCCAAGCCGGUGGAUGGACAGAGAUCAGACAACCGGAUACACACUGGGGCCGCGCAAUGGCGGAAUACGCAUACCGGAGUAAAAAUCGCCAUAUAGGAGGAAGCAUCGUAGUUUUCAUAACGCAAGCCAGACACAGGGCCAUGGCGGGGACACAGUACCAAUUUGGAUUCAUUGUCUUCAUAAAUGGAGUGAUGAAGGAGAAAUGCAUUACCACUCUCUCUGUGCCCCCUAUUGAAACUCCUCGAAGGAAAGCGACCGUCACGAGGUUAUGGUGCAGAUAAAGUAUCCCAGAGAUGUUUUCCGCAAGAAUAUGUCAUGAGUACUGACAUCUCCGCUGGCCAAAAUGACUAUUGACAAUUUACUAAUUAUGUAAUCAAAAGUAGUAGAGUGAAUGGUAGGUAUUAGAAGUAUGCACAAAUUACAAUAUUAUUUGUCCUUUUACGAUACGAAACCAUGUGCUAAUGUGGCACACCGUAGAGAAGGGUUCUGAAAAUUUUGGCCAUCUGUGGUUCCCACAGUACAAAGACCUCUGCCACCAGGCUGCUACUGAAGUGUCUCCACCAGGGUUAUGAUGGAAACCAUGACCUUUCCGCUAGCAGCCGAGCAGCAUAACGACUUGCAGAAACUCAGUUGGUUUAGCAUGCACGCAUCUCUGUGGUUAACACACUCAACGUCGAAAAAAUUAUUAUAUGUUUUUUAAUGUAUCACUAUUUGUUGACAAUGAUGUCAUCGGGGAGCAGAGGGACGGACGAAAGAAUGAAGAUACAAUGUUUAUCCUGGAUGCUACAAAGCAGUGCUUGCCUAUAUAGAUGUAAGCAAUGGAACCACGCAAUUAACAGCGGUUACGUUAGUCAUGCGUUGUUCAAAGGCAAUAAAAUAGAUGUGCUUUGUUUGCUCUUUAGCUAUGCUUUUCCGACAAAACAUUCUUCAAAAUGGUGACAUUGUGAUAACCUCUUGCAUACUACGCUACUCGUUUGUGAAAGCUUUGGUGAUAUAUUUUUAUCACGAACAGCUGGCUUCAACGUGUAUAGCUGCCCGAAUGAUUGUGUAUUCCAUAAAUGUUGUAUAUUUAGGGGCUCAGCAGCAGGUGUUUUUUUUUUCAACCUGCCAUUUAGUUUGGCGCUUGUACUGUCUGCAUACUUCUAACAUGAUUGAAAACGAGUCGGGUGCAACUCUUGUUUCUUCAAUGUGUCAGAACGUUUUUCCGAACUAUUUUGUAUAUCAAAUAAUGUGUAAUGCAGUAGCUUAGAAUUUCUGAUAAGAAUCUUGCCAUGUGAAGUAAACUUACUGAUUAAUAAAAAUAUAAA